GGAGAGAUGGUUUAGUGGUUAGAGCACUGGCUGUUAUGCCAGAGGACCUGGGUUCAAUUCCCAGCACCUCCA
rnacentral:tRNA from 1 species